UGGGGUCAAAAAAACGAAAACCCCGUCGUUUUCGAGUCUAAACUCGCAUCCAGCAUCUAGCUUUUCAGUUUCUGCGGUCCCUGCGGCCGCUCUCCGGCUCGCUCGGAGGCUUCCCCCUCGGCCACCAAGGUAUGAAUUAACUCUUUCCGCCUCCCCUAUUAUGAUUAUUAUGCUUUUCCACCCCCUGCAAGUCGCCGGUCCACAGCCAACUGCCCAUUCGCCUUGGCCAGAAUAUUCUCUUGCAAUAUCUUUCUUGCUCCAGAUCCGGGCCCACCAUCACCCAUAAUACUCCCCGCCCCUCCGGCUCCCGGCCCAGCCCCGGAAACAACACUGUCCCCA
rnacentral:sRNA from 1 species